rfam:Enterococcus mundtii QT 25 DNA, complete genome.
GAACGCCGUAUGCGGUGAAAGUCGCAUGUACGGUGUGGAGCGGGGGAAAAUCUGGAGAUUAUAUCAAAGGAUUACCUAUCGCUAU